UUUGACCAACUGUGAGCAUGUGACUGUACUUUUUCAUUUUGUUAUGCUGUUCUGUUGAGGUCGUGUUCCUAAGGCCUGUCGUUACAGUUGGUGCUAUUAGCAAUAAACAUUUCACACCCAUCAUGAUGAUGUCUGUUAACUUGUGAACAUAACUGUCUUGAAAAAAAGGAAUCUUGCAGUGAAGCUCAUUCCCGGGCAGUGGUCAGAAAAAAAGCUUGACUUGAAGGUAUGUGCUAGUUUAAGUGUAUGGUGAAUAAUAUGAAUUACACUAGUCUUCUUUAAGGAUUUAUUAACGAGCCUUUAUUUCAAUGGUAAUACAGGGUUUUCCAAGCCAAGACUAUGGAGUUGACUGUGGGAUCUUCAUGCUGAUGUCUGCUCUGUACGUGGCACUGGAUGCACCAUUUGACUAUACUAUACUCUGGCAAGCUAUUGCACACUGGAGAGAGGAAGCCAAAGCUGUGCUUGAAGGACAACACGUGCCCAUUUCAGACUGAAAAGCGCAAGUUCCAGGAAGUCAGUCAGGUCAGUAUUCACUAAACAGUAGUGUAAUAAAUGGUUAGUGACAUUUGAAUAACUGUUAAAAAACUGUUCCGCAACAGAGAAAUAGCUAUGUUUUUAUCCCCAUUUGCCUGACACAGGAGCAGCAAUUGUUGAAGAUCUGCGUCCUGCUGUGCAGUGGGUUGUCCAAAAUAAGGCACUUUUCCGUGGACACGUAACAAUGCCAAAAUAUCUGUCCUUAAAUCAAGGGGACCAGCAGAGGGUCUUAAGAGACAUGUCAGAGGAAGAAGACACUGGAGCAAGGGACUUGUUCCUCUUUGUUUUCAGUUUGCAGAGGACAUGGAGCUCUUUUGAAAGCAUGUGCUGAUGAGCAGGGAUAAGGGUCAGUGCUAUGUCUGACAUGUAAUGGACAAAUGAAGGCACUGGCUGUGUUUGUUUGUUUGUUUAAUAUGUCGUUGCUGUUUUUUGUUUUGUUUUUGCAUAGUACAAAAUUCCAAUUAAACUUAUUUCAAAAUGUUGUUCACUUGAUUCCAUGUCCAUACUUAUAAUAAAGGAUUACAGUGUAACAGCAUUAAAUGUAAAUGUAACAGCAUUUUUUUAUACUUGUAAUUUCAAAAUAAAAAGCUUAUUGUUG
rnacentral:lncRNA from 1 species